UACGUAGGGUGCGAGCGUUAAUCGGAAUUACUGGGCGUAAAGGGUGCGCAGGCGGCUCCGCAUGUCGGGCGUGAAAUCCCCGGGCUUAACCUGGGAAUUGCGUCCGAAACUAUGGAGCUGGAGUGUGGCAGAGGGAGGUGGAAUUCCACGUGUAGCGGUGAAAUGCGUAGAGAUGUGGAGGAACACCGGUGGCGAAGGCAGCCUCCUGGGCCAACACUGACGCUCAUGCACGAAAGCGUGGGGAGCAAACAGG
rnacentral:rRNA from 1 species